rnacentral:rRNA from 1 species
GUGCCAGCCGCCGCGGUAAUACGUAGGGUCCAAGCGUUAUCCGGAAUUACUGGGCGUAAAGAGUUGCGUAGGUGGCAUAGUAAGUAGAUAGUGAAAGCGUGUGGCUUAACCAUACAUCCAUUAUCUAAACUGCUAAGCUAGAAGAUGAGAGAGGUAGAUGGAAUUCCCAAUGUAGGAGUGAAAUCCGUAGAUAUUGGGAGGAACACCGAUGGCGUAGGCAGUCUACUGGCUCAUUCUUGACACUAAUGCACGAAAGCGUGGGUAGCAAACGGGAUUAGAUACCCGAGUAGUCC